rnacentral:rRNA from 1 species
GAUGAACGCUGGCGGCGUGCCUAAUACAUGCAAGUCGAGCGAACGGACGAGAAGCUUGCUUCUCUGAUGUUAGCGGCGGACGGGUGAGUAACACGUGGAUAACCUACCUAUAAGACUGGGAUAACUUCGGGAAACCGGAGCUAAUACCGGAUAAUAUUUUGAACCGCAUGGUUCAAAAGUGAAAGACGGUCUUGCUGUCACUUAUAGAUGGAUCCGCGCUGCAUUAGCUAGUUGGUAAGGUAACGGCUUACCAAGGCAACGAUGCAUAGCCGACCUGAGAGGGUGAUCGGCCACACUGGAACUGAGACACGGUCCAGACUCCUAGGGGAGGCAGCAGUAGGGAAUCUUCCGCAAUGGGCGAAAGCCUGACGGAGCAACGCCGCGUGAGUGAUGAAGGUCUUCGGAUCGUAAAACUCUGUUAUUAGGGAAGAACAUAUGUGUAAGUAACUGUGCACAUCUUGACGGUACCUAAUCAGAAAGCCACGGCUAACUACGUG